GAUGAACGCUGGCGGCGUGCCUAAUACAUGCAAGUCGAGCGAACGGACGAGAAGCUUGCUUCUCUGAUGUUAGCGGCGGACGGGUGAGUAACACGUGGAUAACCUACCUAUAAGACUGGGAUAACUUCGGGAAACCGGAGCUAAUACCGGAUAAUAUUUUGAACCGCAUGGUUCAAAAGUGAAAGACGGUCUUGCUGUCACUUAUAGCUGGAUCGGCGCUGCAUUAGCUAGUUGGUAAGGUAACGGCUUACAAAGGCAACGAGGCAUAGCCGACCUGAGCGGGUGAUCGCCCACACGGGAACUGGGACACGGUCCAGACUCCUACGGGAGGCAGCAGUGGGGAAUCUUCCGCAAUGGGCGAAAGCCUGACGGAGCAACGCCGCGUGAGUGAUAAAGGUCUUCGGAUCGUAAAACUCUUUUAUUGGGGAAAAACAUAUGUGUAAUUAACUGUGCACAUCUUGACGGUACCUAAUCAGAAAGCCACGGCUAACUACGUG
rnacentral:rRNA from 1 species